ensembl:snRNA U4 U4 spliceosomal RNA
GUCUUUGCAUAGUGGUAGUAUCGUAGUUUGUAAGGUUUAUCCAAGAUGCAAUUAUUGUUACUUGAAAAUUUUACCCAAUACUCCGCCUUACUGACUUGAAAUAUAGUCGGCAAUGGCAAUUUUAGUAGUCUCUCAGGAGA